AUUGAACGCUGGCGGCGUGCCUAAUACAUGCAAGUAGGACGCAGUUGCGAACGGGUGAGUAACGCGUAGGUAACUACCUAUUAGAGGGGGAUAACUAUUGGAAACGAUAGCUAAUACCGCAUACUAGUAGCUGGACCUGCGUUGUAUUAGCUAGUAGGUAGGGUAAUGGCCUACCUAGGCAACGAUACAUAGCCGGCCUGGGAGGGUGAUCCGCCAAACUGGGACUGAGACACGGGUCAGACGCCUACGGGAGGCAGCAGUAGGGGAUCUUCGGCAAUGGGGGGAACCCUGACCGAGCAACGCCGGGGUAGUGAAGAAGGUUUUCGGAUCGGAAAGCUCUGUUGUUAAGGAAGCGGUACUUAACCAGAAAGGGACGGCUAACUACGUGCCAGCAGCCGCGGUAAUUC
rnacentral:rRNA from 1 species